GGGACAUCAUCAUCCAUCGUGUUCGAUACAGUAUCUCCAGCCCUUGGGAUAGUACCCAGCACAUAUUAAAAGUUCAAAUAGGUUUGGCAGGAGCCCACAUCAGCAGGCACCAUCCCCAGAGGAAGUCUCCUGGAACCUUGGGCCACAGCACACCUGGCGGGCAAGGGCUGUGGCGGAGAUUAAACAAGACAAGGACAGUCAGGAGUUGAGUGCCCGGCCUGGCAGCGUUCAGUGUGCAGUAAAAUGCGGACCGUGAUCUUUUCUCCAGGAGGGAAGGUCAUUUGAGGAGUUUCGUCGGCCGCCGCUAGGGGGAGCGCCGGCCCAGUUCCUGCCUCGGGUCCCGGGGAUAAGAACGCUGAGGGUCCGCAGAACCUGGGGCGGUGG